rnacentral:sRNA from 1 species
UGGAAAGAAGGAAGCGCCUGGAGCAGCAGAGGAAAGAUUAUGCAGCCCCUAUUCCUACUGUUCCGCUGGAGUUCCUCCCUGAGGAAAUUGCUUUAAGGGCAAGUGACGGUCCCCAACUGCCUCCUCGGGUCUUGGCCCAGGAAGUCAUUUGUUUGGACAGUAGCAGUGGCAGUGAGGAUGAAAAAAGCAGUCGAGAUGGUAAGAUCAAACCAGGUGCCUCCCUUUCUUCCGACCUGGUGUUCAUGCUGAGAUCGGCUAUACUUUGAAAAGAGUCCAGUCCUUCCUCCUUCAAUUUGGGAUGUGGCUUUGACUAAUUUCCCUGUGUCUCCUUGGUAAAUAUAAGUUUUUUGCUUGUCUUAACUUGAAGCUGAAAGAGAGAAAUAGUGAAAGUCAAAAUUUUAAUAAGUGUUGACAAGUUCUAACUUUAAGUUUCUGUAGUCUUCUGCUCUGACUGUGUGCAGUAAAUUAUCUUCACUCCCUGGAUUUUUGGUUUUGCUUUUUUUUGCUGUCUCAGAGGUGAUUGAACUGAGCUCUGGAGAGGAGGACACUCUGCACAUUGUGGACAGCAGUGAAUCUGUCAGUGAAGAUGAUGAGGAAGAAGAGAAGGGUGGCACCCAUGUCAAUGAUGUCUUAAACCAGCGUGACGCCCUUGGGCGGGUCCUUGUCAACCUAAACCACCCUCCAGAGGAGGAAAAUGUCUUCCUUGCCCCACAGUUGGCACGGGCUGUGAAACCUCAUCAG